rnacentral:rRNA from 1 species
UACGUAGGGUGCAAGCGUUAAUCGGAAUUACUGGGCGUAAAGCGUGCGCAGGCGGUUUUGUAAGUCUGUCGUGAAAGCCCCGGGCUCAACCUGGGAAUUGCGAUGGAGACUGCAAGGCUUGAAUCUGGCAGAGGGGGGUAGAAUUCCACGUGUAGCAGUGAAAUGCGUAGAGAUGUGGAUGAACACCGAUGGCGAAGGCAGCCCCCUGGGUCAAGAUUGACGCUCAUGCACGAAAGCGUGGGGAGCAAACAGG